CCCGGCGAGAUCACUUCACAAGGAAGGUGGUACUUAAACUGUUUUCUCAGGUGGAGUCUGUAGGAGGGCCGAAGUAACAAAUUUCCCUUCGAGCGGGUUUAAAUAAAUCGGCGCCCGCCUCCGCUGGCUCGAAUGGAAGCGCCCACAGGCUGGGAAUCCCGAGACAGUCCCCGGGCCGUGGCCAGGGACACGUGUGUGUCCGGAGGAAGCCCGCUUCCCGAGUGCAGGCGGGUCUGUGAAACCGCACCCUUGGGUGGGUGGGGGCGUUGUCUUGGACGAAAUUAAGCACGGUAAGGCCCUGACCAGGAGAGGGUCACCGUGACUACAACCACCUCCCUUUCCUCAACGAGGUUAUGCAAUGGAGGAAGAAGCUGACAAGAGAAAUGAGACCAUAAAGCUCUACGAGGAGAGUAGAUUGUUAGUCAAUUCUUUCAUCAUAAAUUAAUGGAGACUUCCUGGAAGAUGGUGGAGUGGUGAACAGCAGAGAGGGAGCCUCUCCGAGAUUUGGUGUCCUGACACUGGAAUAUAGCAGCAUGAGGAGGAGAAGGAGGAGGGAAGUAGGUCCCUGAAACCCAGGAAGGGUCUGAGUUGAGAAUUGAAAUCCACUGGGAGACUGAAGAGAGUGAUUUUAACGAAGAAGAGGUAGGUAGCAAGCAGUGCUCUAUCCCAGAGUCUGGACUCUGUGAGGGAAAGGCAGGCCAGCUGUGCAGAUGCUGGCGACUCCAGAGGCCUCCACGGAGAAGCACACCAGGGGAACACAGCAGUGGAUGCAGCCGAGUGCAGCGGAGUACAGCGGCUGCAGGUCUUGUCAGAGUUGUUCUAUGUAAACAAGAUCACUGGCUAACAUCCCAAGGAAAGCAAGUGCAUCCAACAAGUCUUCCAGGUGGAGCAAGUGGCAGACAGCGGCGCGGGCACCUGAGUUAGAAUCUAGUCUGUGCCUCUUAUCAGCUCUUCGACUUUGGACAGGUUGGACAAUCGUAACUGGACUUUCUUCAUCUAGAACAAAGGCUGAGCAGAGAAGCUGAGAAUCUUGUGGAGGACCAGCAGCCAUCCUUCUAGCUUCAGGAAAAAUCCGACAGUGAGGCUGGCAGAGAAGAGCCCCUCUGGACUUCUUUUUAUGUCAUCAAGAGGUGAGCAGCUUUGCUCUACCACAUGGUUGUCCCCACCAUGAUAUUCUACCUCACCCUAGGUCGAGAAGCAAUGGAGCCAGCCAGCCAUGCACUGAACCCUCCACAACUGUGAGCCAAGAUAAACCCUCCUCCUACUCCGUGCAGAUGGCGGGAUUGUUCACAUAGCAGGACAGAUUUGCCAUCAAAGGGACAAGAAAUCUUGGCAGGAGGCACGUGAGUGCCAGUGGCGAGUCUCUCGUUGAUCCUGGCAUCUGUCCAGCAGAUCCUUCCUUUUCAGUGAAUGAGGAAGAAAGACCGCUUAUUCUGCUCUGCCAAGGCUAAUCAGACUCAAGUUUUCCCAGCACUGGAACUUGCCAGCUUUCAGCUGCAGAGAGAAAGCAGAUACAUUUUAGGAAAGAACAACAAAUGCACAUUCCCUUCAACCUUGAACCCCGCACAACUUCACAAUCUACAUAAUCAUUUGCAAAGGAGACCGCUUCGCAGAGGGGCCCUGGAUUUGAGCGCUCAGGAGGCAAAGUGAUCCUGGGGGUGCUUACCAAAGAACUGCUUUCUUUGCCUAGUUGUUGACAUUAACCAAGAUUUUCUUUUCUUUUUUUUUUUCUGGUUUUCAGAAUCGAACUCAGGACCUUGCGCUUGCCAGGCAGGUGUGGCAUCACUGAGCUACAUUCCAGGCCCUUCUUUUUUAUUAAAAAUAAAUUAAUGAAGCCUGCCCAGCCAGACUUCCCAAGUUGGUGUGGACUUCUUGGAGCCGUGUAUUGGCAACCAGGAUCUCACUCUGUACUUCAGAUUGGCCUUAGCCCAGCUGACCUCAAACUCAUGGUGAUCCUCCUGCCUCAGCUUCCCAAGUGCUGGGAUAACAGGAAAAACAGGAAUUUGGAAGGAACCUAUGGGCCACUCAGAAGUCUGAAUGUCCAAGAUGUUUGGAGGAAGAGCUUUCCCUCCGUUGCCAGGAGCAGCUCUUUCAAAUUGUUAAUCAGUGUGAUGUAUCAAAGAGAAGGCUGCUUUGUCCUUCCUAAAGAGAGCAGGAGGCUACGUGUGGCUAUCUGGACCCCUGAGCCCUGGAAAAUCACCUGAAUUCUUUUCUGGAAUGAACUGGAUAUAGGUUAACAAAUUACUUGUGUAAACAUUUUAUUCUGUCAACACAAGUUGUGUAUGAGAAACUUCUUGGUUGCUAAAGUAAGCCAGUAACCUCGGUGGUUGCAUCUUCACAUCUGAAUAAUGAAGGGCUGGACCAGAGGAUCUGGAGCUGCCUGACGUUGUCUCACUCCACGACCAGGGAGAAGCGGAAGCGGGAAACAUUCUGCCCAUUGAUGACUUUUUUUUUCCUUUGGUACUGGGGAUCAAACUCGGGACCUUGCAUUUUCCAGGCAGGCGGCGGAACCACUGAGCUAAAUCCCCAGCCCCAUUGAUGGCUUUUUACAACAGAGGCUUUUGUUAGCUGUUUCUCUUUCAAGGCAAGGCAGGGAAGGCACCCAUUUUGUGUAUGUGUCUCCUGGUCAUAGGGUAAGAGAGGAGAAGAAGGUUUUGCUGUACUCUCUACUUCCUGUGGUGAUACUGCUUUUUUUUUUUUUUUUUUGUGAGGAAAAGUAUUGUUUCUUUUUUAAACCUUGCAUAGAAUUCUUAUAUGGGAAAGAAAGACGUGGGAGGGCCUGAAGCCGGUCCCGAGGGCUUUCCCUUUGGCCCAGAGAUACCUGGUCUCUCUGGAAGACAUGUAGGAAACCAGUGCUCUAAAGCAGUCUCCCCAAGGCCCAAGUUCUGCAUCUCUCCAUGCUGUCCCCAUGUAAAAGUGCUGGUGGUGGGGCAAACUGUAAAUGGUUACGGGUGUGCAACUCUGUGGAGGGCUAGGGACGUGAGAGAUGAGGGGUAGAGAGAGGCCAUUUCCUUGUGAAGCCGAGAUGGGCACAGGCGGGACCCGGCGGCUGUACAUGGAGCAGAAAAGACCCAUGGAUGACUCAAAGUGAGGUGCGCCCUCCCUGUUGUCGUGAAGGCCGCUGUCUAGUUGAGUCGCUUCUGUAGCGGGAAUAGUCAGUGUCAUUAAUUUUCCCCUGUACUGAGUGGGCCGUGGAACAUGAAGCUGACUUGAUGGAUCACAGUGCCACUUCGGAGCAGAUACUUGAAGGCUGAGAUGAGAACCUUUUGGCUUCUCAGGGCCAAUUUAUUUCCCUAGAAAGGAGGACUACAACAGACAAGAAUUUCUGACACAUCAUGGGAAAAAGUGAAGAAGUCAAUCUUUGGGGUGUGUUUUUACCCAGGAGGUGGCCUGCAAUGGGUUAGUGGCACAUCACAAUAAAUUAUUUAUCAGGACGUGUAAGAUCACAGUCAUCCUGGAGUUUUGCCUGACCGGAUGUAAAAUCAAUGUGGAGCUGAAAUUCAGUGAAUAACCAUGCUGACUGGACCUACUCAAUGGAGAACCACAGAAAAUAUCUUCCUGGGUACCCCAGUGUAACAAAGCAAAGGUGCUAUUUUGUUUUGCAUCGGUGGUCUUAUGGCUAAGCACAUUAUAUUUAGCAGCUGGAGUCCCCUCAUUUGAUUUUCAACCUCACCCAACUAGACAUUUGGCAAUCUCGAUUAAAUGGCUUUCUCAUUCUGUCACUAAAAUUUUAACAGCAGUUGUUAAGUGAAACAUGAGAAAGCUGUGUUCACUACCAUGUA
ensembl:lncRNA